rnacentral:rRNA from 1 species
UAGGGAAUAUUGGACAAUGGGCGAAAGCCUGAUCCAGCCAUGCCGCGUGAAUGAUGAAGGCCUUCGGGUCGUAAAGUUCUUUUCUGAGGGAAGAAAAAUCCGGGGAGGAAAUGCUCUGGGUCUGACGGUACCUCAGGAAUAAGCAACGGCUAACUCCGUGCCAGCAGCCGCGGUAAUACGGAGGUUGCGAGCGUUGUUCGGAAUAACUGGGCGUAAAGGGAGCGCAGGCGGUCUCGUAAGUCUAAAGUGAAAUGCCAGGGCUCAACCUUGGACGUGCUUUGGAUACUACGUGACUUGAGUACGUGAGAGGAGAGUGGAAUUCCAGGUGUAGCGGUGAAAUGCGUAGAUAUCUGGAGGAACACCGGUGGCGAAAGCGGCUCUCUGGCACGUUACUGACGCUGAGGCUCGAAAGCGUGGGGAGCGAACG